rnacentral:rRNA from 2 species
AACGACUCUCGGCAACGGAUAUCUCGGCUCUCGCAUCGAUGAAGAACGUAGCGAAAUGCGAUACUUGGUGUGAAUUGCAGAAUCCCGUGAACCAUCGAGUCUUUGAACGCAAGUUGCGCCCGAAGCCAUUAGGCCGAGGGCACGUCUGCCUGGGCGUCACGCAUCGCGUCGCCCCCCAACCCAUCACUCCCUUGCGGGAGUUGAGGCGGA